AUGCCACUAUGCCCUGACCCGCAAGGGAAUGGGUGGAUUUAUUAGAACAGAACCAACCGGGGAUAGCUUCGGCUGUCCCUGUUGUACUCUGUGAUGACUCUGGAUAACUUUACUGAUCGCAGUCGGCCUUGUGUCGGCGACGGAUCUUUCAAAUGUCUGCCCUAUCAAUUUGAUGGUAGGUGAUCUGCCUACCAGGAUAAUAACGGGUAACGGGGAAUCAGGGUUCGAUUCCGGAGAGGGAGCCUGAGAAACGGCUACCACAUCCAAGGAUGGCAGCAGGCGCGAAAAUUACCCACUCCCGGCACGGGGAGGUAGUGACGAAAAAUACGGAUACGGGACUCAAACGAGGCUCCGUAAUUCGAAUGAGUACAAUUUAAAUCCUUUAACGAGGACCAAUUGGAGGGCAAGUCUGGUGCCAGCAGCCGCGGUAACUCCAGCUCCAAAAGCGUAUAUUAAAGUUGCUGCAGUUAAAAAGCUCGUAGCUGGAUCUGGGUUGUGCGUUCACGCGCCUUUACUUGUCUGUCAGACUUGGUCAAUGCCUUGGCUGAUGUUCAAAUAGGUGUAGUGGGCGUGCUGCCUUUCAGCCGUGUCUGUGUAAACGGGUGCUGACUGGGUUGAUGAGCUUGUCUUGUUAACCUGUUGGCAUGCUUCUAGAUGCCCUUUACCGGGUGUCGGGAGCGGACGGCAUCUUUACUUUGAACAAAUUUGAGUGCUCAAAGCAGGCCUGUGGGCCUGAAAAUUCUUGCAUGGAAUAAUGGAAUAGGACUUCGGUUCUAUUUUGUUGGUUUUCGGAUCCGAAGUAAUGGUUAAGAGGGACAGACGGGGGCAUUUGUAUGGCGGUGUGAGAGGUGAAAUUCUGGGAUCGCCGCCAGACAAACUACAGCGAAAGCAUUUGCCAAGAAUGUUUUCAUUGAUCAGGAGCGAAAGUCAGAGUUUCGAAGACGAUCAGAUACCGUCGUAGUUCUGACCAUAAACGAUGCCAACUGACGAUCCGCGGCAGCACUUAUAUUGGCUCCGCGGGCAGUCCCCGGGAAACCUUUAAGUCUUUGGGCUCCGGGGGAAGUAUGGUUGCAAAGCUGAAACUUAAAGGAAUUGACGGAAGGGCACCACCAGGAGUGGAGCCUGCGGCCUAAUUCGACUCAACACGGGAAAACUCACCCGGCCCGGACACUGUGAGGAUUGACAGAUUGAGAGCUCUUUCUUGAUUCGGUGGUUGGUGGUGCAUGGCCGUUCUUAGUUGGUGGAGCGAUUUGUCUGGUUAAUUCCGAUAACGAACGAGACUUUGACCUACUAAAUAGUACGCUCGUCCUCUGUGCGCGUAUAGACUGCGGCUUGCAUUGCUUGUAAAAGUGAUGUGGUCGUGGGUCAGCGU
rnacentral:rRNA from 1 species